rnacentral:rRNA from 1 species
GACGAACGCUGGCGGCGUGCUUAACACAUGCAAGUCGAACGGAAAGGCCCUGCUUUUGUGGGGUGCUCGAGUGGCGAACGGGUGAGUAACACGUGAGUAACCUGCCCUUGACUUUGGGAUAACUUCAGGAAACUGGGGCUAAUACCGGAUAGGAGCUCCUGCUGCAUGGUGGGGGUUGGAAAGUUUCGGCGGUUGGGGAUGGACUCGCGGCUUAUCAGCUUGUUGGUGGGGUAGUGGCUUACCAAGGCUUUGACGGGUAGCCGGCCUGAGAGGGGGACCGGCCACAAUGGGACUGAGAGACGGCCCAGAAGCCUACGGUAGGCAGCAGUGGGGAGUAUUGCACAGUGGGCGGAAGCCUGAUGCGGCAGCGCCGCGUGCGGGAUGACGUCCUUCGGGUUGUAAACCGCUUUCGCCUGUGACGAAGCGUGAGUGACGGUAAUGGGUAAAGAAGCACCGGCUAACUACGUG